rnacentral:rRNA from 1 species
GACGAACGCUGGCGGCGUGCCUAAUACAUGCAAGUAGAACGCACAGUUUAUACCGUAGCUUGCUACACCAUAAACUGUCAGUUGCGUACGGAAGACUAACUCGUACGUAACUUGCCUGGUAGCGGGGGGUAACUAACGGCAACGAUUGCUACUACCGCAUAAUCUUCAUUAUUGCAUGAUGAUUGAUUGAAAGAUGCAAUUGUAUCCCUACAAGAUGGACCUGCGUUGUAUUAGCUAGUAGGUGAGGUAACGGCUCACCUAGGCGACGAUACAUAGCCGACCUGAGAGGGUGAUCGGCCACACUGGGACUGAGACACGGCCCAGACUCCUACGGGAGGCAGCAGUAGGGAAUCUUCGGCAAUGGACGAAAGUCUGACGGAGCAACGCCGCGUGAGUGAAGAAGGUUUUCGGAUCGUAAAGCUCUGUUGUAAGGGAAGAACGGGUGUGAGGCUAGAAAGUACACGCUGUGACGGUAUCUGACCAGAAAGGGACGGCUAACUACGUG